ACACAUACAAUAAGCGGAGGAAAAGAAACUAACAAGGAUUCCCAUAGUAACUGCGAGUGAAGCGGGAAAAGCUCAAAUUUAAAAUCUGGCAGUUCUCAACUGUCCGAGUUGUAAUCUAGAGAAGUGUUACCCGUGCUGGACCAUGUACAAGUCUCCUGGAAUGGAGCAUCAUAGAGGGUGAGAAUCCCGUCUUUGACAUGGACUACCUGUACGUUGUGGUGCGCUCUCAAAGAGUCGAGUUGUUUGGGAAUGCAGCUCAAAAUGGGUGGUAAAUGCCAUCUAAAGCUAAAUAUUGGCGAGAGACCGAUAGCGAACAAGUACCGUGAGGGAAAGAUGAAAAGAACUUUGGAAAGAGAGUUAAACAGUACGUGAAAUUGCUGAAAGGGAAACGCUUGAAGUCAGUCGCGUUGGCUAGAAAUCAGCUGUGCUUUUGCUCGGUGUACUUUCUGGUCGACGGGUCAGCAUCAAUUUUGACCAUCGGAUAAAGUCUUUGGGAAUGUGGCAUCCUUUUGGAUGUGUUAUAGCCCAUCGUCGCAUACGGUGGUUGGGAUUGAGGAACUCAGCACGCCGCAAGGCCGGGUUUUGACCACGUUCGUGCUUAGGAUGCUGGCAUAAUGGCUUUAAUCGACCCGUCUUGAAACACGGACCAAGGAGUCUAACAUGCCUGCGAGUGUUUGGGUGGAAAACCCAUGCGCGCAAUGAAAGUGAAAGUUGAGAUCCCCCAUUUUUUUGGAGGAGCAUUGACGCCCGGACCAGAGCUUUUUGUGACGGAUCCGCGGUAGAGCAUGUAUGUUGGGACCCGAAAGAUGGUGAACUAUGCCUGAAUAGGGUGAAGCCAGAGGAAACUCUGGUGGAGCUCGUAGCGAUUCUGACGUGCAAAUCGAUCGUCAAAUUUGGGUAUAUGGGCGAAGACUAAUCGAACCAUCUAGUAGCUGGUCCUGCGGCU
rnacentral:rRNA from 1 species